AUGAGCCUUUCUCAGUGUACUGGACGCUGUACAAACACAGCACAGCUUCAUCAAAAGAUCACAGAAAAGCAUUUUAAACAUCUACUUCUCAGAGUUGUCGUUCUGAAGUGCCUUAAGAAUCCAAGCCCGUGAGAUUUCAGGCCGUGACUCUAUCUCACAAAUGCAGACAACUUGGGGCUACAUUUA
rnacentral:lncRNA from 1 species